GGAAGUAAAAGUCGUAACAAGGUCUCCGUUGGUGAACCAGCGGAGGGAUCAUUGCUGGAACGCGCCCCAGGCGCACCCAGAAACCCUUUGUGAACUUAUACCUUACUGUUGCCUCGGCGCUAGCUGGUCCUUCGGGGCCCCUCACCCCCGGGUGUUGAGACAGCCCGCCGGCGGCCAACCCAACUCUUGUUUUUACACUGAAACUCUGAGAAUAAAACAUAAAUGAAUCAAAACUUUCAACAACGGAUCUCUUGGUUCUGGCAUCGAUGAAGAACGCAGCGAAAUGCGAUAAGUAAUGUGAAUUGCAGAAUUCAGUGAAUCAUCGAAUCUUUGAACGCACAUUGCGCCCUCUGGUAUUCCGGAGGGCAUGCCUGUUCGAGCGUCAUUUCAACCCUCAAGCCUGGCUUGGUGAUGGGGCACUGCUUCUUACCCAAGGAGCAGGCCCUGAAAUUCAGUGGCGAGCUCGCCAGGACCCCGAGCGCAGUAGUUAAACCCUCGCUCUGGAAGGCCCUGGCGGUGCCCUGCCGUUAAA
rnacentral:rRNA from 1 species